UACGGGGGGAGCGAGCGUUGCCCGGAUUUACUGGGCGUAAAGGGCGCGAUAGGCGGUCGUGACAAGUCACUUGUGAAAUCUCCGGGCUUAACUCGGAACGGUCAAGUGAUACUGUCGGACUAGAGUACAGAAGGGGGCAACUGGAAUUCUCGGUGUAGCGGUGAAAAUGCGUAGAUAUCGAGAGGAAACACCUGCGGCGAAGGCGGGGUGCUGGGGCUGAUAACUGACGC
rnacentral:rRNA from 1 species